rnacentral:rRNA from 1 species
UACGUAGGGUGCGAGCGUUGUCCGGAAUUACUGGGCGUAAAGAGCUCGUAGGUGGUUUGUCGCGUUGUCCGUGAAAACUCACAACUCAAUUGUGGGCGUGCGGGCGAUACGGGCAGACUGGAGUACUGCAGGGGAGACUGGAAUUCCUGGUGAGCGGUGGAAUGCGCAGAUAUCAGGAAGAACACCCGUGGCGAAGGCGGUUCUCCUGGGACGGUACUGACGCUGGAGACGCGAAAGCGUGGGGAGCGAACAGG